CACAAGCGGUGGAGCAUGUGGUUUAAAUUCGUAAGCAACGCGAAGAACCUUACCAGGUCUUGACAUCCCGAUGCAUUUCUAGAGAUAGAAAGUUACUUCGGUACAUCGGUGACAGGUGGUGCAUGGUUGUCGUCAGCUCGUGUCGUGAGAUGUUGGGUUAAGUCCCGCAACGAGCGCAACCCCUAUUGUUAGUUGCCGUCAUUCAGUUGGGCACUCUAGCGAGACUGCCGGUAAUAAACCGGAGGAAGGUGGGGAUGACGUCAAAUCAUCAUGCCCCUUAUGACCUGGGCUACACACGUGCUACAAUGGUUGGUACAACGAGUUGCGAGUCGGUGACGGCGAGCUAAUCUCUUAAAGCCAAUCUCAGUUCGGAUUGUAGGCUGCAACUCGCCUACAUGAAGUCGGAAUCGCUAGUAAUCGCGGAUCAGCACGCCGCGGUCGAAUACGUUCCCGGGCCUU
rnacentral:rRNA from 1 species